rnacentral:sRNA from 1 species
CCCUCUGACAAUGAGGGCAAAAGGGGCGAAAAAAGGGGACGAAUAUUUCCCUGUAAACAGUAUUAACAUUUUAAAUUGAAAUAUCAUUUUUGUUACUUUUAAUAUUGAUCUAUAAUGGUUGUAGGAGCUUGAUUUAAAGAUAUCAAAAGCAGUUAUUAUAUAAAAUCAACUGGUUACAAGUCGUACUACUUUAAAUACUUGUAUGAUUUGUAUAUAACUGUACCUGCAAUUGUUUUCUUAUCAAUGGGUAAACAACUUUGUGACUUAAUUUUAACAAGAGGGAAGGUUAUUGAUAGCUACAGUGCAUUUCUAUUUUUCUUCUUUUUUAUGGGUGAUUAUUUCACUUUAGGUCACUUUUAAAGUAAGAAGAUCUGUGUAAAUGGGGUACAUGUACUUAUUGAAUAUGAAUUCAAUUUGUUAAUAUUUGUGUGUGAUAACUUGAUGAAUGUUUUAAAACAAUUUACUCAGCUGGCUGAUAGGUGUUUUUUUUCUGAUUGUAAAAAAAGAAAGAGUAAACCAAAUUAGAAAUUGUAUGUGAAAGAAAGAACAAGAAAUGUUGGUUUUGAUUCAGGACUCUAUCCACAAGUGUUCAAUUUAAAAUGUGCCAGAUUUUCUUUCCUCUUCUUGUAUAAUCUUAUGAUAAAAAAAUCAACUUAGAGCAGUCUUUGCAGUAUUCUGAUGUCGUUAAUUAGCAUGGUGUCACAUCAAAAUGUGUGCCAAACUUAUCGCAUAUGUAGACCAGUUAAAACUGUGUAUUGUGAAAUAUCUUGAAUAAAGUGUUGAACUU